rnacentral:rRNA from 4 species
AAAUUGAAGAGUUUGAUCAUGGCUCAGAUUGAACGCUGGCGGCAGGCCUAACACAUGCAAGUCGAGCGGUAGCACAGAGAGCUUGCUCUCGGGUGACGAGCGGCGGACGGGUGAGUAAUGUCUGGGAAACUGCCUGAUGGAGGGGGAUAACUACUGGAAACGGUAGCUAAUACCGCAUAACGUCGCAAGAC